UUCAGGUUCGGGACAACAGCGGGAAACUUGCUGCUAAUACCGGAUAUGCCUUGAUAGGUGAAAGAUUAAUUGCCUGAAGAUGAGCUCGCGUCUGAUUAGCUAGUUGGUGGGGUAAGAGCCCACCAAGGCGACGAUCAGUAACUGGUCUGAGAGGAUGACCAGUCACACUGGGACUGAGACACGGCCCAGACUCCUACGGGAGGCAGCAGUGGGGAAUUUUCCGCAAUGGGCGAAAGCCUGACGGAGCAAUACCGCGUGAGGGAGGAAGGCUCUUGGGUUGUAAACCUCUUUUCUCAGGGAAGAAUAAAAUGACGGUACCUGAGGAAUAAGCAUCGGCUAACUCCGUGCCAGCAGCCGCGGUAAUACGGAGGAUGCAAGCGUUAUCCGGAAUUAUUGGGCGUAAAGCGUCCGCAGGUGGCAGUUCAAGUCUGCUGUCAAAGGUCAGGGCUCAACCCUGAACAGGCAGUGGAAACUGAACAGCUAGAGUGCGGUAGGGGCAGAGGGAAUUCCCAGUGUAGCGGUGAAAUGCGUAGAGAUUGGGAAGAACACCGGUGGCGAAAGCGCUCUGCUAGGCCUGCACUGACACUCAGGGACGAAAGCUAGGGGAGCGAAUGGGAUUAGAUACCCCAGUAGUCCUAGCCGUAAACGAUGGA
rnacentral:rRNA from 1 species